UUCUUGGUCAUUUAGAGGAAGUAAAAGUCGUAACAAGGUUUCCGUAGGUGAACCUGCGGAAGGAUCAUUAAAGAAAUUUAAUAAUUUUGAAAAUGGAUUUUUUUUUUGUUUUGGCAAGAGCAUGAGAGCUUUUACUGGCAAGAAGACAAGAGAUGGAGAGUCCAGCCGGGCCUGCGCUUAAGUGCGCGGUCUUGCUAGGCUUGUAAGUUUCUUUCUUGCUAUUCCAAACGGUGAGAGAUUUCUGUGCUUUUGUUAUAGGACAAUUAAAACCGUUUCAAUACAACACACUGUGGAGUUUUCAUAUCUUUGCAACUUUUUCUUUGGGCAUUCGAGCAAUCGGGGCCCAGAGGUAACAAACACAAACAAUUUUAUCUAUUCAUUAAAUUUUUGUCAAAAAAAGAAUUUUCGUAACUGGAAAUUUUAAAAUAUUAAAAACUUUCAACAACGGAUCUCUUGGUUCUCGCAUCGAUGAAGAACGCAGCGAAAUGCGAUACGUAAUGUGAAUUGCAGAAUUCCGUGAAUCAUCGAAUCUUUGAACGCACAUUGCGCCCCUUGGUAUUCCAGGGGGCAUGCCUGUUUGAGCGUCAUUUCCUUCUCAAACAUUCUGUUUGGUAGUGAGUGAUACUCUUUGGAGUUAACUUGAAAUUGCUGGCCUUUUCAUUGGAUGUUUUUUUUCCAAAGAGAGGUUUCUCUGCGUGCUUGAGGUAUAAUGCAAGUACGGUCGUUUUAGGUUUUACCAACUGCGGCUAAUCUUUUUUUAUACUGAGCGUAUUGGAACGUUAUCGAUAAGAAGAGAGCGUCUAGGCGAACAAUGUUCUUAAAGUUUGACCUCAAAUCAGGUAGGAGUACCCGCUGAACUUAAGCAUAUCAAUAAGCGGAGGAA
rnacentral:rRNA from 1 species